UGCAAAUGCUCCAAAAUAAUUCUUCCUCAUCACAGCCAGAAAAGGGCGAUUGUCCCGUAAGCAUUUCGUAAAGGAGAAUACCAAAAGACCACCAGUCCACGGCUUGAUUGUACUUCAAACCCUUUAUUAUCUGCACAGAUGACGUAAACAAUUUACGGAGAGAAUUUUACGUUUAUCGUGACAUUUGGCAUCAUUGAGAGGAGAAUUAUUGUAAACUAUUGUUGGUGAAUUGACCUAGAAAAUGAAUUCUCGAUUUUAAAGGCUACGAACGAAAGUCAAGUCAUUGUACUCGAGAGAAUGGUAGGUCCAUGAGGAAGUACUAAACUACAAUCACAAGUCUGAGAAGAGGAAUAGAGUGACAAAUAUUCCUUAUCGAAUUAAAGGGAAUCCACAAAAUUCAUGUGGUGCACAUUGCAAGUCGUGUAUUAAUUGUCAGAAAAAAAUAUUCGUUUUCAAGCUGGCAUUAUACGUUUAAUGGAACUAUACCUAUAGAGAGGACUUUUGGCCCUGUGACAUUUUUCAAAAAUAGACUUGGCGUCCAUUGACAUAUACUGAGGAAAAAAUUUAUUUCUGUUUUGCCGAAAGCUGCAUGUUAAAGAAGAAGAGGAAGAAGAAGAAAAAGACGAAUAAAAACCAACCAUUAAAUUCUCAUGCUGAUGCAAAAAAAAAAGGAACACAAAAAGGAAAAAG